GAUGAACGCUGGCGGCGUGCCUAAUACAUGCAAGUAGAACGCUGAAGGAAGGAGCUUGCUCUUUCCGGAUGAGUUGCGAACGGGUGAGUAACGCGUAGGUAACCUGCCUGGUAGCGGGGGAUAACUAUUGGAAACGAUAGCUAAUACCGCAUAACAGUAGAUGUUGCAUGAUAUCUACUUAAAAGGUGCACUUGCACCACUACCAGAUGGACCUGCGUUGUAUUAGCUAGUUGGUGAGGUAACGGCUCACCAAGGCGACGAUACAUAGCCGACCUGAGAGGGUGAUCGGCCACACUGGGACUGAGACACGGCCCAGACUCCUACGGGAGGCAGCAGUAGGGAAUCUUCGGCAAUAGACGGAAGUCUGACCGAGCAACGCCGCGUGAGUGAAGAAGGUUUUCGGAUCGUAAAGCUCUGUUGUAAGAGAAGAACGAGUGUGAGAGUGGAAAGUUCACACUGUGACGGUAUCUUACCAGAAAGGGACGGCUAACUACGUG
rnacentral:rRNA from 1 species